UACAUUACUGCCUCUGAUUAAUCCGAAGCCUCUCAUAACCUACCAUUCUCACCUUCAACUCAAUUCGUUCAUAGUGUAGAGAACGGUAACAUGUCUCUUCAAAUAUUUGAGCUUAAAUAUAUGGGGAAACCCAACGACCUGAGAGGAGUAGAGAUGAGGGUAAAUUGAGCGGA
rnacentral:ribozyme from 1 species